GAGAGAGAGAGAGAGAGAGAGAGAGAUAAGGAGACAAAAGGAGAAAAAGAAAGGAGACAUGGGGGUAAAAAGCUGCCUGCAGUCUGUAUCUCAGCCUCUCAAAUCUGUUCGAGCUAUUGUACCAGAGGUGGAAGGGGGUUUUAGAGUAAUGUCCGUGAUUAGGUAACAGUUAAUUUUAUGUCAAGUUAAAAAUCCCGAACAAGACCAGGGAUUUAAGUUGGGGGUAGGGGUGGACGCAGAAUGUUAGAUUUACAGUGAGCUACAGGGAAAUCUAUAUGAACUUUUGGUGAAUCUAAGAAUUCUCCUGGGCUGCAGACGGUCAAAACGAAGGCAACAUCUUCCCUCUCCACUCCCAGCUGCUCUCCCUCAGUCCCUAGCUUCGGUGGACUUCUCUCCUUUGCAGUGAUUUUGUGUGCCUUCUCCGUCCCCCGCCCUCCACACACACACAGUCUUUGGUCAGAAGGGCUGGAAGAAAAUUCAUUUUGCCUCAAGCCGAGACCAAGGUUUGGCCUUGAGCGGGGUGUGUGAAUGAACUAAAUCCUAAAUAAUGGAAGACACUUAAGGGUCAUAAAGGACUUUGCAGUAAGCUUGAAAGUGGUGGUGUGGAGAGGGAGUGGGAAUGUUGGGGAGAAAGGUGAAAAGUAUUGAAAAGCGGUUUGUUCAGGAAACGUGCAAGUAUAUAAAUCCGGUACUUGGCAAAGCUUGCUAGAGAGUUUGCAUCUUGCCUGAAAACCUCGGAGUGAUGUUCUCGCCUCGAACCUCCGGGGUAGUCAACUGGCUCACGAACAAUCCAUCAAAACCAGUGGACUGGAUGGCUCUACCCUAUUUUGCCUGUCGUCCUUCCCCACACUGUGGCUCGAGAAGGUCCUGAGCCAGGGAAAAGGGCACAUUUGCAAGGGCUCGUUUAAAAAAAAAAAAAAGAUAAGAAAGGGUCUCUUCCCUGCUUCCUCAGUUCCUCUGACAACGCUAAGGUUGAAGGGUUAGAACAACUAGGCCAAAGCGAUCUGAACUUUCUCCUCUCAGGUCAGCCUGCGCUGGUCGAUCCUGGCGUGGGGCUGUGUUUACAGACACUUGCCUUUGUUUAUAACACAGGAGAGGAGAGUCCCUCUCUUAUUUUCUUUCGCUCUCCUGAUCUGGCCCUAGCUUUCCACGUAGUGGUGCCCUUAACUUCCAUUCUUCCACAGGCUCCUUCCAUGUCAGUUAUGAGCCUGGGUGUUACAUGCGAUUAUGGUGAUGAUAGUGUUGUUAAAAUGUGUCUAAGGGAGAGACAGAAAGAAACGGACAGAGAACUAGUUCUGUGUACACAAUGUGUGUGCCACGGCGCUGAUAUAUGCGAAUGUAUAUGUGAGAGAUAGCUAGUUCUCUUUGAACGGCGUGCAAGAAUGUGUGUAUUGUGUGAAUAUGCGUUGCGUGUUUGUAUAAAAAAUAGACGAAAGAGAGACAACACGAGAACAUGAUAAAACUGAAUUUAUCUUUCGAGUUUGUAAGUAUGUGUAUCCUUGUGUCCUUGGGCUUAAAACAGAAGUCUGCUGGAUUUAGUGUUAUUUUAAUAAACUCCAGCUAAAUUAAGAAUGAACUUUUGGCUUGCGAUGGCAGCGCUGUAGUAAAUAUGCCUCAAAAAUCUCUCGUGAAAAUUCUGGCUUUCAAGCUGAAUCAGGAGCUCCUGAUUCCCUGUCACCCCCAUUGUGCCCAAUCUCAGCCCCACCCCCACCCUUCCUUAGGGGUGGGCUCUUGUGCCCUGUUCUGGGGAAUGUUCUGGCUCUCUGCAUCUUAAUGAGUCCAUUGGUCACUCAUUCCAACUGAGGGGGGGGAUGAGAUCAAGUUCAGGUGAUUCCCCACCCCCAGCUAAUCGACAAUUCCCUCUUGCCCCUUCCUUCUCUGUUAAUGUUCUCUUUUCUUUUUCAAUUUCUCCAAGUGGCUGCCUUGUGGGACAAGCUAGAAGGAAUCUAUUUUAAUUGCUCGGAUAAUGUGGAUGCUGCCAUUUUCUUAAAAGCAAUCACUCCUGGAGCGAAAUCACAAGAGCUCUAGACAGGCCGGAGCCGACAAAAAUGUCCUUCAGGCAAGAAGGCAAUACUUGCAGAAGAGCCUCCUCAUUGGUGGUCAGAGUACGAUCUCACCCCACUGGAGCUUCCGAGAACUCAGAAAGUCCCUUGGACUGCGUCCUUAUUUUAAGAAGUCCUCUCCCAACAUCGCCCCCUGGGAAUCUGGAAAGCAUAUUUGGGAAUUUGGGGGUUCCCUCCAGGACCUAACGAGCAUCAGUGGCCCUGGGACAACAGAAAAAAGGAGAAGGAAAAAGUCGAACAGAGCUGCUACAGAGAAGAGCGUGACCAAGGAGGACCAUUGCUCUUGGUAGACAUCUGAAACAGAAGACUCUGGGCAAAAACAUCAAGUUUACCUAUCUCUUCAAGGACUAGGGGAAGUUCCAAGAAAAGAUGGGGACAGAUGUAGGAGGUUAUUCAUGGACAUUAAAGUGGCAGUUUAAAGUAAUCCUCCUUAUUACCAUUAAAUAAUGGUAGCAUUUGGUAUAAAUGAGAUAAUUCUUCCUAAAGUUCCAUGUUCCAGGAAAAAGGAAGUUGCUGAGUUAAAAGUCUGCCUUGGCAUUUCACUUAUCUAGGACAUGAAUAAGUCUGACUCUGGGUUCUAAGAGAAGCAAUUACUGAAUUGAAUCUGCCUGAGAAUUGUUUUGAGACGUCAGUCACUCAUUUGCAUAUGACAGGGCAUGGAACCUUGGACCAUAUGGAAAACAAAGUCUGUUUUUACUAGUGUGAAUAUGAAGAAUUGAAGGGUUUUAGAGCUUUAAGAUUCUAGAAUAGGGAAGCUAUGGACACCAGAACUAUUCUACAAUUAUAGGACAUUUGUCCUAUUUACUUGACUAUUCACAGAAUUUGGUUACUAACCCUAAGUUAAGGUGGGAUCCUUUGUAGAGAUGAUCUAGUUUUGGAACCAAGAAAGUUCAGAAGAAUACAGAAAAGUAGAAGAACAGAUUUCAGAAGUAUGUUAAAGAGAACAACCCCUCCUCACCCCCUACUCAUUGCCAGGUAGAGUAUGUGACUGGUGAGAUGACUGGAGCGUCCUCUACUGCCACCUGCUGCUGAGAAGGAAUAGGGAGACUACUCUGUGUUCUCCAUUGCAACUACAGCUAAGAAGAUAAAUAAUAAAAACAACAAUUAUUAUGGUUUGUUACUGAUAAAGAGAAGAAGAAAAGACGGAAGAUACUUUUCUGCAUUGCGUCUUGCUGUGACUGUUGAGAGAUGGAGGAGAAAAAGAAUCUUGCAAAGAAACACAUUUGGAAAGAUGUUUGCCAAUUUUAGGAUAAAGAUUGUUGCUUUUUCCUAAGAGCAUAACACUGCUUUUGCUGGAACGUCGAGUUGAUGUUUCAGUUGUUUAGGAGUCAGCUGAGCUGUGUGGAGGAGCAGCUUGGAAAGAGCAUCAAAGAGGUAAUCCAGCUGUGAUAUAACGUGGGCUAAGGUAUUAAUCAUGCACAAAGAGCAUCAGUACUUACAGAAGCUGCACUUAUCGAGAAACUUUAAUGGACAGUUCCUGAGACAGAAAGAGGAGACCAAAGUCUACAGUAUGAGAGCUGUCAAUUUCCUUGGCUUCCAUACAUGUACGGUUUUACCUUGGAAUUUUAAGUGCAAGCCCAUUCUCCCCAUAGACACCAUAUACAUUGGUUGGAGAAUACUAUUGAGGUUUAUUGGUGGAGCUAUAUGCAAAUAUAUGUGUUUCCUUUACAUUUUCAGUAAAUAUUUUGUUUAAGGUUAAUUGUCUAUUAACAACUGAUUGAUUCUCAAACUUGUGCUUUCAAGGGAAGCAAUGGCUUACACCAAAUUACACUAAUUUCUUUGUCUAAUUACAUAGUAUGCCAUAUAUUGGCAAGACGGCAUCCUCUCUGUACCAUCAUGCCCUUGGUGACUUGCUCAUUUAAAGUAAUUGAGCUCACCUGGCUUGGUUUGACUGACACACUAAAUUACCUGGAGCUGCUGUGAACAGAAUUAGGAGCAUUGUGCAUUUCCUCUCCAUCCCCUACUCCAAUUUGCUCUGGAGACAGGGCCACCAAGGCAACAUGGGAAAAUUAGAGCAACAUGCCACAGAAAUUUCUAUUUCUAUUUUCAGUAAUCAUGUCUUAUAAAGGCAGUGCAACAACUGAAGUACCCAAAGUAAUUAAUCUAGUUUAUAAACUAAGCCCAUCUAAAAUAUUUUCUCUUUUAAGAUUAAAGAACUUAAAAUUACUACCUACUUUUAAGAAAGAAAUUGAAAUCCUGAAAACAGAAAGAAAAUAGUAUGAUAAUAAUGCUGAUCAUUUCAGAAAACAUGUUUUGCUAAAUUAAUAUCUUAGCCAAAAAUGAAUGUCAUAUUCAUUUUUUAAUUUGGAAUUUCAGAUAAGAUUGUUAGUUUAUGUCUUCAGAUAUCUUUCAACACCUGUCUUCAAAAGGUGGCUAGAUGUUGCAGUGGAGAGAGGGCUAGGCUUGGAGUCAGAAACACCUAAUUCAAAUCCACCCUCAGACACUUAGUAGCUGUGUGACCCUGUGCAAAUCA